GUUCUUGUAGUUAAAUGGAUAUAACAGUCCCCUCCUAAGGGACCGUUGUGGGUUCGAUUCCCGCCAAGAACGCCA
rnacentral:tRNA from 2 species